GACGAACGCUGGCGGCGUGCCUAAUACAUGCAAGUCGAACGAGAGCGCCCGGUGCUUGCACUGGUCAAUCUAGUGGCGAACGGGUGAGUAACACGUGGGUAACCUGCCCAUCAGAGGGGGAUAACAUCCGGAAACGGAUGCUAAAACCGCAUAGGUCUUCGAACCGCAUGGUUUGAAGAGGAAAAGAGGCGCAAGCUUCUGCUGAUGGAUGGACCCGCGGGACCUUAGCUAGUUGGUGAGGUAAAGGCUCACCAAGGCCGUGAUGCAUAGCCGACCGGAGGGGGGGAUCGUCACCAUUGGGCCUGAGACACGGCCCAACCGCCGACGGGAGGCAGCAGUGGGGAAUCUUCCGCAAGGGACGCAAGUCUGACGGAGCAACGCCGCGGGGGUGAAGAAGGUUUUCGGUUCGUAAAACGCUGUUGUUAGAGAAGAACAAGUGCUAGAGUAACUGUCAGCGCCUUGACGGAAUCUAACCAGAAAGCCACGGCUAACUACGU
rnacentral:rRNA from 1 species